rnacentral:rRNA from 1 species
CCGGCACGGGUGGGUAACACGUAUCCAACCUGCCGUCUACUCUUGGACAGCCUUCUGAAAGGAAGAUUGAUACAAGAUGGCAUCAUGAGUUCACAUGUUCACAUGAUUAAAGGUAUUCCGGUAGACGAUGGGGAUGCGUUCCAUUAGAUAGUAGGCGGGGUAACGGCCCACCUAGUCUUCGAUGGAUAGGGGUUCUGAGAGGAAGGUCCCCCACAUUGGAACUGAGACACGGUCCAA